CACGUAGGAGGCAAACGUUAUCCGGAUUUACUGGGCGUAAAGCGCGUGUAGGUGGUUCUGUAAGUAGGGCGUGAAAGCUCCCGGCUCAACUGGGAGAGGCCGUUCUAAACUGCAGAGCUAGAGGAUGGUAGAGGGAGGUGGAAUUCCAGGUGUAGCGGUGGAAUGCGCAGAUAUCUGGAGGAACACCAGUGGCGAAGGCGGCCUCCUGGACCAUUCCUGACACUCAGACGCGAAAGCUAGGGUAGCAAACGGGAUUAGAUACCCCCGUAGUCU
rnacentral:rRNA from 1 species